ACCCACCACUAUGCCAUUCUAAACAUGAUCUUUUCCUGAUUUCAGAAACUAAGCAAAUUUGAGGCUGAUCAGUACUUGGAUGGGAGACCACUGGGGAAUGCCAAAAAUCUCCAGGUAGGAC
rnacentral:rRNA from 1 species